rnacentral:rRNA from 1 species
GGAUGCGAUCAUACCAACUCACAUACACCGGAUCGCAUCAGAACUCCGAAGUUAAGCGAGUUUGGACUGCCUCCU